UGUAGCUCAGUGGUAAAGCACUUGCCUAGCAUACAUGAGGUCCUGGGUUCAAUCCCCAGCA
rnacentral:tRNA from 1 species